rnacentral:lncRNA from 1 species
GCCAUGUGGAGACUCUGAGGAGGCAGAUUUAGCUUCAGCCUUGUACUUGGGAGUACAGAGUCAGAGUUUGGAGGUGCAGCUGACUCUGAAGGACACUGCCGGUCUCCAUCCUUGGGGCGCACAGGGUUCUGUCAUGAGGAUAAUAGGUAGAGAUGAGUGUGCCCAUAGUCCCGUGUGGACUUAGGAGUUACUAGUGACAGCAGCAGGUGAAAUUAAGACCCUUGGGGGGGUGCAGGGAGGGUCCCAGGGAAAUGGGGAGGGGUGAAGACCCAAGGAGGUUGAAGGGAAGGUGGUGCAGCAAUGUGAG